UACGUAGGUCCCGAGCGUUGUCCGGAUUUGUUGGGCGUAAAGCGAGCGCAGGUGGUUUAUUAAGUCUGGUGUAAAAGGCAGUGGCUCAACCAUUGUAUGCAUUGGAAACUGGUAGACUUGAGUGCAGGAGAGGAGAGUGGAAUUCCAUGUGUAGCGGUGAAAUGCGUAGAUAUAUGGAGGAACACCGGUGGCGAAAGCGGCUCUCUGGCCUGUAACUGACACUUAGGCUCGAAAGCGUGGGGAGCAAACAGG
rnacentral:rRNA from 1 species